rnacentral:lncRNA from 1 species
CUGUUCGCAACAUUGUCUAUAGUUGCAGAACUACAACUGCGGAGUGUGGGGUGUGUAGAUGAGGUAGAAUAAAUCAAUUUUGGUAGAAAUGGCUAAAAGACAGCAAUCACCAGAAUUCUUCCCGCUUUGGAGACGCUAGGUGAAGUGUCCAAUGGCCCUCUCUGACUUGUUUGACAUCCAGGGAGGAGGCUGGGAUGUGGGCUCACGGCUGUUCAGAAGGCUGGCAGGCUUACAGACAACACCCUUACCCCCCAGUCAGGGGCUC